rnacentral:rRNA from 1 species
GUCGAGGGGCAUCGGGAGGAAAGCUUGCUUUCCUUGCCGGCGACCGGCGCACGGGUGAGUAACACGUAUGCAACCUGCCCUCUUCAGGGGGACAACCUUCCGAAAGGGAGGCUAAUCCCGCGUAUAUCGGUUUCGGGCAUCCGAGAUCGAGGAAAGAUUCAUCGGAAGAGGAUGGGCAUGCGGCGCAUUAGCUAGACGGCGGGGUAACGGCCCACCGUGGCGACGAUGCGUAGGGGUUCUGAGAGGAAGGUCCCCCACACUGGUACUGAGACACGGACCAGACUCCUACGGGAGGCAGCAGUGAGGAAUAUUGGUCAAUGGGCGGGAGCCUGAACCAGCCAAGCCGCGUGAGGGAAGAAGGUACAGCGUAUCGUAAACCUCUUUUGUCAGGGAACAAAGGCGGGGACUAGUCCCCGGAUGAGGGUACCUGAAGAAAAAGCAUCGGCUAACUCCGUGCCAGCAGCCGCGGUAAUACGGAGGAUGCGAGCGUUAUCCGGAUUUAUUGGGUUUAAAGGGUGCGCAGGCGGCCUGUUAAGUCAGCGGUAAAAGCCCGGGGCUCAACCCCGGCGAGCCGUUGAAACUGGCGGGCUGGAGUUGGAGAGAAGUACGCGGAAUGCGCGGUGUAGCGGUGAAAUGCAUAGAUAUCACGCAGAACUCCGAUUGCGAAGGCAGCAUACCGGCGCCCUACUGACGCUGAGGCACGAAAGCGUGGGUAUCGAACAGGAUUAGAUACCCUGGUAGUCCACGCAGUAAACGAUGAAUGCUAACUGUCCGGUGCGAAUGAGCGCUGGGCGGUACAGCGAAAGCGUUAAGCAUUCCACCUGGGGAGUACGCC